rnacentral:rRNA from 1 species
UGAGUGGCGGACGGGUGAGUAACGCGUGGGCAACCUGGCCUGUACAGGGGGAUAACACUUAGAAAUAGGUGCUAAUACCGCAUAACGGGAGAAGCCGCAUGGCUUUUUCCUGAAAACUCCGGUGGUACAGGAUGGGCCCGCGUCUGAUUAGCCAGUUGGGCAGGGUAACGGCCUACCAAAGCGACGAUCAGUAGCCGGCCUGAGAGGGUGGACGGCCACAUUGGGACUGAGACACGGCCCAAACUCCUACGGGAGGCAGCAG